rnacentral:tRNA from 1 species
GGAAGUGUGGCCGAGCGGUUUAAGGCAACGGUCUUGAAAACCGUCGAACCUUUGCGGGUUCCGUGAGUUCGAAUCUCACCGCUUCCG